rnacentral:rRNA from 1 species
GACGUAGGAUGCAAGCGUUGUCCGGAAUUAUUGGGCGUAAAGAGUUCGUAGGCGGUUGCCUAAGUCUGAUGUUAAAGCCUGGCGCUCAACGCCAGCAUGGCAUUGGAAACUGGGUAGCUAGAGUGUGUCAGAGGUUACGGGAAUUCCUGGUGUAGCGGUGAAAUGCGUAGAUAUCAGGAGGAACACCGGUGGCGAAAGCGCGUAACUGGGGCAUAACUGACGCUGAGGAACGAAAGCCAGGGGAGCGAAAGGG